CCUGUACGUAGUCAGUUACGUAAAUCCUGGAGAGGUGACAAGGCUGACUGACCGUGGCUAUUCACAUUCUUGCUGCAUCAGUCAGCAUUGUGACUUCUUUAUAAGUAAGUAUAGUAACCAGAAGAAUCCACACUGUGUGUCCCUUUACAAGUUAUCAAGUCCCGAAGAUGACCCAACUUGCAAAACAAAGGAAUUUUGGGCCACCAUUUUGGAUUCAGCAGGUGCAGUUGGUGAAUAAUCGGUUUAAAGGAGUCAAGUAUUUCCGCUUGAAUACCCUAGCCUCUCUAGGUUAUGUGGUUGUAGUGA
rnacentral:sRNA from 1 species